rnacentral:lncRNA from 1 species
AUGCUUUUCUUGAGGACACAACAGGAAGACAUCACACAAAAGCCCAGGGGCUGGAGACACAGGCCGGAUAUUCACUCAGGGGACAGAAUGGAGAGGCAGAGCACUCCAACUUCAGAUCCCACAGGCAGAGAUGGCACUGAGGAGACGAAAGCUGACCUGAGCCAGGCUCUGGUAUGGCCGUGUGCGACUUGGGGUGACAAGAAGGAACUGACUCCGACCCAAGGGCUGCAGACACCUCAGAGGAACCCGAGUUUGGUAGCAGAAGAUGUCAUGGCUGAGAGCAUUCUCUCUUCAGGUCCACUGGGUACUGUCAGCGAUUGUGGUCUCAAGAUCCAAUUACCCCGUGAAAGCUGCAAGGCAAUUCAGUCCCAGAUGACUCUGAAGAAAGACAAAUGGGAUGAUAAGACACAUUGUUUUUCGAGUUUCUUUCUUCAACUACCAUUUCUUGGAGAUCUUUCCAGGCCACCUCGGUCGGUUGUGCUCUCUUCCUGAAGCUGCCUGUGGCGUCAACCAGUCAUGGAUAAAGGAGCCUCUGAAGUCACUCCCAGGACGCCCCACCCAUCGUCAGAAGGAUGACAGAUGAAUACCUAAAACCCUCCCUGGCCUCCAAAAACAUAAUGAGUUUUUUACUCGGUAGGCAACUGGGGAGGCACAGAAAUGAUGUGGAUUUGUCCAAAUGGCUAUGGAUGCUGACACGAGCUGCACCAGGAUGGAGUUGGCCAUUGCCAAAAAGUCGUAUAACCUACCUGCUUAUGCCUAUCUGUAAUUUUGGAAAAUGAAAAAAAAUGUAGAGGACUUCCCUGGUGGCACAGUGGUUGAGAAUCCGCCUGCCAAUGCAGGGGACACGGGUUCGAGCCCUGGUCCAGGAAGAUCCCACAUACUGUGGGGCAGCUAAGCCCGUGCACCACAACUACUGAGCCUGAGCUCUAGAGCCCAUGAGGCACAACUACUGAGCACGCGUGCCACAACUUCUGAAGCCCGUGCACCUAGAGCCCGUGCUCCACAAUAAGAGAAGCCACCGCAAUGAGAAGUCCGCGCACUGCAAUGAAGAGUAGCCCCCGCUCGCUGCAACUAGAGAAAGCCCGUGUGCAGCAACGAAGAUCCAACACAGCCAUAAAUCAAUAAAUAAUUGUAGAAUAACAAACUCCUCCCUUGUUUCACCUGUUAAAAUAAAAGGUGCCUGUCACUCCUUUUCAUUUGAUAUGUUGUUAUGUCGAUACAGUUUUCCUGGGUUACACUGGAGAGGGGAUUCUAUUCCUCCUAACAGUCUAUGCAGGGGCUCUCAGACACAGCGGAGAUGGUGAGAUCACACUGCAUGUCAGAUUUCUUCCAUCUUUAAU